GAUGAACGCUAGCGAUAGGCUUAACACAUGCAAGUCGAGGGGCAGCAUGGUCUUAGCUUGCUAAGGCUGAUGGCGACCGGCGCACGGGUGCGUAACGCGUAUGCAACUUGCCUCACAGAGGGGGAUAACCCGUCGAAAGACGGACUAAUACCGCGUACACUCUAUGUUGGGCAUCCAAUGUAGAGGAAAUGAAAUUCGCUGUGAGAUAGGCAUGCGUCCCAUUAGCUAGUUGGUGAGGUAACGGCUCACCAAGGCGACGAUGGGUAGGGGAACUGAGAGGUUGAACCCCCACACCGGUACCGCGACACGGACCAGACUGCUACGGGAGGCAGCAGUGUGGAAUAUUGGUCAAUGGGGGAGGGCCUGAACCAGCCAAGUCGCGUGAAGGAUGACUGUCUUAUGGAUUGUAAACUUCUUUUAUACGGGAAUAACAAGAGUCACGUGUGGCUCCCUGCAUGUACCGUAUGAAUAAGCAUCGGCUAACUCCGUG
rnacentral:rRNA from 1 species